rnacentral:rRNA from 1 species
UGGGGGAUAUUGCACAAUGGGCGAAAGCCUGAUGCAGCGACGCCGCGUGGGGGAUGAAGGCUUUCGGGUUGUAAACCUCUUUCGCUAUCGAACAAGGCCCGCUUAGGGUGGGUUGAGGGUAGGUGGAGAAGAAGCGCCGGCUAACUACGUGCCAGCAGCCGCGGUAAUACGUAGGGCGCGAGCGUUGUCCGGAAUUAUUGGGCGUAAAGGGCUUGUAGGCGGCUUGUUGCGCCUGCUGUGAAAACGCGGGGCUUAACUUCGCGCGUGCAGUGGGUACGGGGAUGCUUGAGUGUGGUAGGGGUGACUGGAAUUCCAGGUGUAGCGGUGUAAUGCGCAGAUAUCUGGAGGAACACCGAUGGCGAAGGCAGGGCACUGGGCCAUUACUGACGCUGAGGAGCGAAAGCAUGGGUAGCGAACAGG